rnacentral:rRNA from 1 species
CAGUAGCCGCGGGAACACGUAGGUGGCAAGCGUUGUCCGGAAUUAUUGGGCGUAAAGGGCUCGCAGGCGGUUUCUUAAGUCUGAUGUGAAAGCCCCCGGCUCAACCGGGGAGGGUCAUUGGAAACUGGGAAACUUGAGUGCAGAAGAGGAGAGUGGAAUUCCACGUGUAGCGGUGAAAUGCGUAGAGAUGUGGAGGAACACCAGUGGCGAAGGCGACUCUCUGGUCUGUAGCUGACGCUGAGGAGCGAAAGCGUGGGGAGCGAACAGGAUUAGAGACCCCGGUAGUCCCUGUCUCUUAUAC